rnacentral:rRNA from 1 species
CCUACGGGAGGCUGCAGUGAGGAAUAUUGGUCAAUGGGCGGAAGCCUGAACCAGCCAAGUAGCGUGCGGGAUGAAGGCCCUACGGGUCGUAAACCGCUUUUGCACGGGGAUAAAACCCUCCACUUGUGGAGGUUUGCAUGUACCGUGUGAAUCAGGGCCGGCUAACUCCGUGCCAGCAGCCGCGGUAAUCCGGAGGGUCCGCGCGUUAUCCGGAUUUAUGGGGGUUAAAGGGAGCGUAGGGGGGUGUUAAAGUCCGCGGGAAGAUCUCGGGGCUAAACCGCGCACGGCAGUUGAAACUGGGAGCCUUGAGUACACAAGAGGCAGGCGGAAUUCGUGGUGUAGCGGUGAAAUGCAUAGAUAUCACGAGGAACCCCGAUUGCGAAGGCAGCCUGCCGGACUGCAACUGACGCUGAGGCUCGAAGGUGCGGGUAGCAAACAGGAUUAGAUACCCGUGUAGUC